UUUGUAUUAUCUUUAUUUUCCAACAAGUUUGUAAUCCAAUGAUAGCUUUUCAUUGGCAUUGUGUUCGUAUUUUUCUUAUUCUUUUAUAUCAAUAUAUAUAUAUAUAUAUCGAUAAACCCAUCUUAGUGAUUAUUUUAGAUGUUUGCAUUGUGGCGUUUCGGAUUACCUGAUGAAUAUGUUUUUAACGUCAAUAAUUUGUACUUGUAGGACCUACUUUUCUAUUAAUUUGUUGAACGUAGUUGCUGAACUGCUCAAUGACUCCAAGAAGGACUUUGCCCUGAGAAUUCGAUGUGAUAUUGUCAUUUUUCACUAUGGUUUUUUAAAUAUUAGUAAGAUUAUUGUUUCUCUUUCCUUUGUAUUUUCCCUUGGGUGUGGAUCGCCAAUGGAAAGUAAACAUGGUGCUGUCGGGAAGCAAGCUGAAAAAUGAGGCUAUCAAAGCAUUCACGAGAUUGAAGAUGCAAAAACACAUGAAUCAGUACAUUGUCUUCCUAUGGCAAAUGGGGAUUCAGGCGGACAAAGUUUGGAUAGAAAUGAAAAAUAUCUAGCAAGGAAUUCUGUAGCUCAUCACCAUACAUGGAAUAUUGAGGAUUGUAAUGGGAGCUGCUCUAGAGUCAUUCAACCAUGGUUCUCAAUUACUUAUCUAUGAACUAUCGAUGCCUUCUUUUUUUUUUUUUUUUUUUCCAUCUUUAAAAGAAUGUGACUUUUGUUGGUUCUAAUUCACACAUUUUCAAAUAAAAAAGGAUUGUCU